UACGGAGGGUGCGAGCGUUGUCCGGAAUCACUGGGCGUAAAGGGCGCGUAGGCGGCCUGAUAAGUAGGGGGUGAAAUCCUGCGGCUUAACCGCAGGGCUGCCUUCUAAACUGUCAGGCUUGAGCACAGUAGAGGCAGGUGGAAUUCCCGGUGUAGCGGUGGAAUGCGUAGAGAUCGGGAAGAACAUCAGUGGCGAAGGCGGUUACCUGGAGCUUUGCUGACGCUGAUGCGCGAAAGCGUGGGGAGCGAUCCGG
rnacentral:rRNA from 1 species